CCUUUUGUUUUUUAUUCAAGGUCUGACCUGCCCAAUGAUUUUUAAAUGGCCGCGGUAUCCUGACCGUGCAAAGGUAGCAUAAUCAUUUGUUUUAUAAUUGAAAACUAGUAUGAAUGGUCUUACGAAAGGUCAUCUUUCUUUAUUUUAUUAUAUUGAAUUUUAUUUUUGUGUUAAAAAGCAUAAAUUAUUUUAUUAGACGAUAAGACCCUAUAAAACUUUAUUUUCUUUUAGUUAUUCGGGUUUAAUAGAUGAUAAUUUGUAACUAAUAGAGAAUUAUACUGGGGCGGUAAGUAAAUUACUAUAACUUUACUUUGAUUUUUCAUGAAUUAAUGUUAAUUUUGAUCCAAUUUUUUUGAUUAAAAGAUUAAGUUACUUUAGGGAUAACAGCGUAAUUUUAUUGGAGAGCUCUUAUCGAUAAUAAAGUUUGCGACCUCGAUGUUGGAUUAAAAUAAGUGUUAAGUGGAGCAGCUUAAUAACUAGGUCUGUUCGACCUUUAAUAUUUUACGUGAUCUGA
rnacentral:rRNA from 1 species